UUUCCCAAGCCAAAGAUGUACCGAAGUAUAGAGGGCUGUUGUGUUUGCAGAGCUAAGUCCUCCAGUUCUUGAUUCACUGACAGUAAACGCUAUGAAAAGGACUUCCAGAGCUCUUUGGGGCUGCAUGAGACAUCUGCGAUGCCUGUGUUCUGCUUGUGAAAAGAUGGAAGACGUUGCCAGCAGGAUCAAAAAACCCUGGAUUCAUGUGGCAGAUGCAGGGCUGGACCCAGUCUAAAUACUACACUGAAACCAAAGAGAGUGAAAACUGUAUCUGGGAACAGGAUAAAAAGCAACCAGACCAAUAAACUGCAGAAGAAAGGUAAAGAUUGCAAUGAUGAUGCUCACAGUACCACCUCAAGUGCCUCCUUGUUACAGCAACUAGUCAGACGAUGGCUCAGUUAUGGAGAUGGCUUCUGGUUCUACCAGAACACCAGGUGUUUUCCUUUUUAGAUCUCACAGACUGAAAAAGAAGAUACAUAGUGGGAUUAUUUAUAAAGGCCAUUUUGGGAAAGUCCUCAUCAACUCACAUCUGUUCAAGCCUUGCCACAGGAAUACAAAAGCAACUACUGAGAAAUGUAGGGGCAGGGGCCAGAGCCUCUGCCCACAUCA
rnacentral:lncRNA from 1 species